AUGAAUAAGUGAAGGUAAAAUAAAAACUUUUAUCUUUUCUUAUUCUUAAUUGAUCUAACAGAUAACAAUUUGUUCAAAGUAAUAAUACCAACAGUGUAUUUGAUUAUGUAGACUUAUGUGUGUAUGUGUGUCUGUAUACAUAUAUAUAAGCAUAUGUAUAAGUGAAAUAAAAGACAGCAAUGAUACAAGGGAUGGGAGGAAAGAGUUAGGAAUAUUUCGUUAUAAGGUACUCACAUUACCCAUGAAGCAGUGCAGUGUUAAUUGAAAGUGGGUUUAGAUUAGUUGUAUAUUGCAAACUUUAGGAAAACCACCAAAAAAAGUAAAGAAAAAAAGCAUAAUUGAUAUGCUAAGACAGGAGACAAAAUGGAAUCAAAGGAAAUGCUCAAUACCACCAAAGACAGAAAAAGUGUGGAAGACAAAAAUAGGAACAAAGAACAAGGGCAGCAAAUAGAAAACAGUAACAAAUAUGAUAGAUAUUAAUCCAAUUGUAUUAAUAAUAACUUUAAAUGUUAAUAAUAACUAAUUAAAACACAGAGAUUGUCAGAGUGGAGCAAAGAAAGCAGGUGGUGAAAUAAUAGAAUAAGAAUACAGAAAUAGACCCCAUGCAAAGCAAGCCCAGAAUCAGAAACAUACGUAUAUGGCAACUUGGUACAGAGAGGAGAUUAUAAUUCAGAGGGGGAAAUGGACUAUUUAAUAAAUUAUAUGACAACUGGGAAAAUAAUAAAAUUAGAGCCCCACUUAAUACCAUACAUAAAACCUAACCCUAAAAAGCAGGAGUUUAAAACUCUUAGAAUAAAAUCACGGAGGAGGAUAGGACUUCUUAAGCAAGAUACCAAAAGCAUAAUCCAUAAAGGAAAAAUAUGAUAAAUUUCACUACACCAAACAGAAACAUUCCACAUGACCAAAGAUACCCGCAAUGGAUCUAGUGAAUUUGCUGGCUCACCGUUCAUUUAUUCAUUUAAUGAAUAUUUAUUUGCUUAGUUGGUGGGGUCCCAGCUGUUGACAAAAUAAACCAAAUUCCUGCCCACAUUUAGCUAUUCCAGUGGGAGAGUAAAACAUGAAGAAAAAUAAAAAAGAAAAGGAAGAUAGGGCUAAAUGAGGGAAAGACUUGUAAUCUACCACAAGAUAAAGUUAGGAGAAGCUGUACUCUAAAAGUGACAGCUGAACAAAGAACUAAUGGAGGGACAAGAGAGAAGCGUGCAAGUACUUGGGGGGACAAGCAUUCCAAGCAGAGGAAUAGAAAUGCCUAACUUCCUUCUAGUAUGUCUUUCUGUACAGAAGAUAUUGAAUAACUGAAAACUACUUUACCCAGCCUGCCUUGCAAAUAGGGGUUCAGAUCUGAUGGAGGUUCCUCCAAUCAGAUAUGUACAAAUCACAAAAGACUUGACAUCAGAACUGAGUAGAGAGAAGGAUGGAAUGUGGACAUGCAUUUUGCCGGUACAAAUUUUGGCAGACGCUUCUGAAACUUGAAGAUUUGGCAGGAAGUUAUCUGAUCAUAACCAAGAUGGUGUGAUUUUUCACCCAAAAGCUUUAGCAACAGAGGUAGAAUGGUUUUGGAGCCAGAUGCUUUAGUUAUGAUUUAAAUUUGGCAGGCACCUUCCUGAUCUUGGCAGGAGCAGUAGCUCCCCUGGUAGCCCUAAUGUGAUGUGAGGCUUUAGGUAUUAAUUCUGGAAGUUCACUUAAAAUUCACUUCAUCUGUCCACCAAAAUAAUUCUGUAAGCCAUUUAAUGUCCACUAAUAUACUCCUUUCUGCUGAAACUACAGUAUAUUCUACUCUCUUCAACUUAAUUCUGACCAAUAGAGUAGUACCAUCAAUGGCUAUAGAUGACAUCCUCUCAAGAAAAUGGGAACCUGUGAUGGAUUUUCUGACCUAGGUGGGUUUUUAAGGAAGCAAGAAUACUAGCAUCAGUUGAUGGGACCCAGAAAAUCUGUUACUUAAGUGAUCACCUGUGAUUGCCUGGAAUGAAGUGCCUACUGAAGGCAAGACUUGCAAACCAUAUUACUAUAAAAGGGAGAAUGAGUAAUACAAGGUUUGUGGGGUGGGCCAUCUGCUUUUAACUGUACCAAAAAACCUUAAAUAAAGACAAUGACAAACCAGGAUUUAAAAUUCCAGGCUCCAGGCAUGAUUACAGAUUCAGGGAGCUUCUGUAAUUGCCCUAAAAUAAACUCUUGCAUCUGUAGGUCCAGAGCAACCAUAUCUGAAAAUAAGAUAUAGAGUCUGAUCUUCCAAGUUUCAGAGUUACAAUGGAACCUGAUUUUAUAGGAUUUCUGGAGCUUAUAUGUAAAAAUCAGGGACUACUGGGGAUAUAGUGAGACCCAAAGAGCAUUUGGAUUAAUUCAGAUAACUGGGAUCCACAAAACGUUGACUCACUGAAUCCCCCUUGCCAGCAGCCCCUCUUCCCUUUAUGUUGAGGCUGUCCUUUCCCUGCCUGAAAUCCCUGGAGCAACCUCACUUGAGGAAGCUACCUCAUGCCUCACCUCUGCCACUUCUUAUAUCCAGUCCAGAUCUAUAACUAGAGUCAUGCUCCAUUAAGAGAAGCUCUGUCACAUGACAGGGACAAGAUUUUGCUAAUUUUCACCUCCAGAAAACUGGGAAUAUGUAUAAAGAUGGAGAAGCAAAGAACAGGAUUUUUGAUAGAGUCAAAUUUGUUGACAGAGGAUUCUCAAUUCAAUGUGUUUAAAAUUAUUUUGGAGUGGUUAUAAUCAUUUGUUUGCUUGAGUGACUGAAAUGUAUUUUCAAUGGUGGACAAUGUUCAGUGGAUUUGAGACGUCAGAAGUUCCUUAGCAAAAUGCAGAAGAAGGAAGAGAAAUAUUUAAGGAGAAAGGAAAACUUCAGUGGAUUUAUAAUGUUCACUUUUUCUCCUACUCUCCAUUGUCUCUCAGAAGGCCCCGGAGGAUACUCCCUCCACCAAGAUAUUGAGAAAAUAGUGACAGAAGUAUCAGCAGUCUUAAAAAGCUCUCCAGCUCUGGGUUACAAUCUAGUCUGCAGAGACCAUUACCAUCUCACCAUCUCAUAAUGCUGUAUAACAUCAGACUGGCCAACUACUUUGAUGAUAUUCUCAUAGAACUGGGUGAAUAGAUUUCAGAGACUGGAUAAUAAACUCCAAUGAAAAUCCA